rnacentral:rRNA from 1 species
AGCGAACGUUUGCGGCGGGCCUAACACAUGCAAGUCGAACGCACUAGCAAUAGUGAGUGGCGCACGGGUGCGUAACACGUGGGUAAUCAACCCUUCAGCCUGGGAUAACGACUCGAAAGGGUCGCUAAUACCGGAUACGGCGCGAGAGGCUUCGGCUUCUCACGAGAAAGCCACGCAAGGGGCACUGAAGGACGAGCCUGCGGCCCAUCAGCUAGUUGGUGAGGUAAGAGCUCACCAAGGCUAAGACGGGUAGCUGGUCUGAGAGGAUGAUCAGCCACACUGGAACUGAGACACGGUCCAGACUCCUACGGGAGGCAGCAGUGGGGAAUAUUGCGCAAUGGGCGAAAGCCUGACGCAGCCACGCCGCGUGUGUGAAGAAGGCCUUAGGGUUGUAAAG